AGAGAGAGAGACCUAUAAUGGAAAUGGAGAAGAAAAUUUAGAAGGACCUCAACUUUGAGAUUGUUUAAUAGCCUUCAUUCAGCGAUUCAGUCUAAUUGAUGACAGUGCAAGUCAACAACAUCAUUUAUUUAUUUAGCUAUGCCCAAUUUGAAAGCAGCACAAUGUUGCUAGUAGGGUAAGUGCCUUGCCCAAGGGCACAACCAGGAAUACCCAGUCAGUCCUGGAAUUCGAACCCACGACCUUCCGGUUGCUGGCUCACCUCUCCUACUAUUACAACUGUAAUCCAAUUCUUGCAACGAAUGUUCAUUUAAUAAUGUACAAAUGUCCCAGCAAAAUGCUUUGAUUGUUCUUAAGAUGUACAAAUGAAACUGACAAGGCCUUCAUUGUUUUCAUCUUUGAAAAGUCUGGACAUC